UUUUGGACAAUGGGCGCAAGCCUGAUCCAGCCAUGCCGCGUGAGUGAAGAAGGCCUUCGGGUUGUAAAGCUCUUUCGGCGGGGACGAAACGGUUCGUGCUAGUACCACGGACUACUGACGGUACCCGCAGAAGAAGCACCGGCUAACUACGUGCCAGCAGCCGCGGUAAUACGUAGGGUGCAGGCGUUAAUCGGAAUUACUGGGCGUAAGGCGUGCGCAGGCGGUUUGUUAAGACAGGUGUGAAAUCCCCGGGCUUAACCUGGGAAUUGCGCUUGUAACUGGCAGACUGGAGUGUGGCAGAGGGGGGUGGAAUUCCAAGUGUAGCAGUGAAAUGCGUAGAUAUUUGGAGGAACGCCGAUGGCGAAGGCAGCCCCCUGGGCUAACACUGACGCUCAUGCACGAAA
rnacentral:rRNA from 1 species